GCCGAAGUGGCGAAAAUGGUAGACGCAAUUGAUUCAAAAUCAAUCACUGUUAAGGUAUGCCGGUUCGACUCCGGCCUUCGGCA
rnacentral:tRNA from 1 species